rnacentral:rRNA from 1 species
AGCAGCCGCGGUAAUUCCAGCUCCAAUAGCGUAUAUUAAAGUUGUUGCAGUUAAAAAGCUCGUAGUUGAAUCUCGGGGUUAGUAGGUUGGUCAUGCUUCUGGUAUGUACUGGUCUCACUGAUUCCUCCUUCCUGAUGAGCUGUAAUGCCAUUAAUUUGGUGUUGCAGGGAAUCUGGACUGUUACUUUGAAAAAUUAGAGUGUUUAAAGCAGGCUAACGCUUGAAUACAUUAGCAUGGAAUAAUGAAAUAGGACGUUCGAUCCUAUUUUGUUGGUUUCUAGGAUUGACGUAAUGAUUAAUAGGGAUAGUUGGGGCAUUAGUAUUCAAUUGUCAGAGGUGAAAUUCUUGGAUUUAUUGAAGACU